rnacentral:rRNA from 1 species
UACGUAGGGUGCGAGCGUUGUCCGGAAUUAUUGGGCGUAAAGAGCUCGUAGGCGGCUUGUCACGUCGGAUGUGAAAGCCCGGGGCUUAACCCCGGGUCUGCAUUCGAUACGGGCAGGCUAGAGUUCGGUAGGGGAGAUCGGAAUUCCUGGUGUAGCGGUGAAAUGCGCAGAUAUCAGGAGGAACACCGGUGGCGAAGGCGGUUCUCUGGGCCUUACCUGACGCUGAGGAGCGAAAGCGUGGGGAGCAAACAGG